UACGUAGGGGGCAAGCGUUGUCCGGAUUUAUUGGGCGUAAAGAGCGUGUAGGCGGCCAAGCAGGUCCGCUGUGAAAACUCGAGGCUCAACCUCGAGACGUCGGUGGAAACCGUUUGGCUCGAAUCCGGAAGAGGUGAGUGGAAUUCCUGGUGUAGCGGUGAAAUGCGCAGAUAUCAGGAGGAACACCAAUGGCGAAGGCAGCUCACUGGGACGGUAUUGACGCUGAGACGCGAAAGCGUGGGGAGCAAACAGG
rnacentral:rRNA from 1 species